GAUGAGAGCAACUUUCCAGUAUCGACAGAAUAUGAUCCAAGCACAAGAUGUAUCAUUGUCUGUCCUCAAUGUGUUCACUCGCUUCCUUGAUGUUCCUGGAUUGAUUGACCAGGAUUUCUCAAUGAUGUUUGCUGAUGAAUUAUCUCAGAGGUUCCCGGCUAAGUGGUCAACUGUCUUCAAAGCAAAAGUCCUUGCAGACUGCAAGACUCUCCCGCAAAAGCAGAAUAUUGAUGAGUUGCUGUCAGGAACUGAACCUCAACCUGAUGACAGCUGUGGCUGGGGCAGUGAUACAUCCUCCAUCCUUCUACUCCUGCAUCUGCUCCUCUGACCUCUAGAGGCCAGGAAAAAAACAGCAAAGAUCAGUUUGUCAAGCAGCCAACCAUCUUCUCAGACAUCUUAAGGAAGGAGCCAGUGUGACCCCCUUCCAAGACUGUUGACACAAGACAACAAUUUCUCCUGUGCAUCAGUGAGCGAAGGUGACAUCCAGAGGUUCUACAUGAUUGACCAAAAGCCGGUUCCAUGCAAGGCACAUACAUUUAUUGCAGCUUUUGAUGAACUGUUCAAAGCUCGCUAUGUCUUCAGUCUCUCGUAUGGUUAAAAAUGGAUAAGAGCAAACAUUUGGGUCUGAAUGCUGCCCAGUCAUGGUGUCUUCUAUGUAACACUCCACUUAUAUUUGGUGAUGGCAUUGAAAGGAAGAAUGAUCACUGGAACUUCCUCCUUUUGAUGCAGAUUGUCAACAUACCUGUAGUGUUCUCGUACACCAUAGCUGAUGGAAUGAUGCUUUACUUGAAACAUCUGAUAAGUGACCACCACACUCGGUACAAAUUAUUGCUUCCUGGUAAGAAGUUGAUUCCCAAGCACCGCUUGAUGAUACACUAUCCAAGAUGCAUACAAAACAUUGGCCCUCUUGUCCAUACGUGGUGCAUGUGUUUUGAAGCCAAACACAAUUCUUUCAAAAGGUGUGGUUACAAUUUUCAAAAAUCUCAGUCGUUUGUCGUGGCCUUUCACUAUAAAAUUAUUUUAGAAGAUUUGCAUUUGGCCCUACAACAUCAAAACAAUCUGCAACUUGAAAGGUGGGGAGGAACGUGGUCAGGCAUGAUGUCUGCAAGCAUCUUCCAAGUGUGUCAAGUACCAACUGGGUGACAAGCUACGGUAUAGAGCACCAUGUUGGUGUGUUCAUAUGUACUGGAUGUAGCUUUGAUCUACCUGUGUUCAAGAAGACCUGGGAUAUAAUAAAACACAAAGAAUGUGCUUUCAUAAGAGCCUGUAAUGUAGAAACGAUGUACUAUGAUGACCCGUUUAACGUGUACUGCAUAGAAGACCAAAUGCUUGACUUUUCUGUCAUGUGUGUAAAUGAACUGACUCAUUUCAGACCAUUUGACAAGCAGUGCUCUAAUGACAAGUGUCAAAUAGCAAACAUACUGUAGUGCCCUGCUGUUAUUUAAGCUACUGUCUGUUGGAAAUGAAAUGUUUUUGAAUAAAAUGUA